GUAGUAGGUGAGCAAGCAGGCAGAAAUAUUUGAGACAGAACAUGAAUGCUCAUGUACUGUAAGGUGUUGGAGCAUUCAAAGCUUACACCAAUAAAAAGAUGGCAAAGACAGACAUACUCAGGGCGAUAUGCGGUAAAGGAGGCAUGAUUUUGUAUGAAGAUCUUGAGGACACGGGGCUGGAACCCCUGCAGGAGCUCAAAAGGAUCAUCUCAGAGAACCCUGACACUUUUAAAGAGGUCUGUCUUGGCGGGCGAAUGUUUGUGACGGCCAGAAGCAACAUUUCUCUCUGCGAAACGCCAGACUGCUUGGGUUGUAAACGCUUGCACAUGUGUAAAGGUUACAUGUUAGGAUCCUGUAAUGAUACUGGAUGCCCUUUUUCUCAUGAUUUACACUCACCACAUAAUAUGUGGGUCCUGAAACAGUUUGGCUUAAAAGGAUUGAAGGAAAACGAGAUAUCUGUACUGCUAUUCCAAGAUGAGCCACCACCUCAACCACCUCUUAAUUUAUCACCUAAACCACAUCCUCACCAGGACCCUCCUCAACCAGCUCCUCGUCUGCAGAUGCCCACACUCAGCAAUUCAGCAGCCAAUGCUUCUGUUUUUCAGGCGAACCAAAACAGUUCAGGGAGUGAUGGCAUUUGUCAAAUGCAUCUUAUUCAUCGCUGCAGUGUGGACGGUCAGUGUGAUAAGGUCCACAGCAGCAUGCCCUACCAGUGGCAGAGAAGGGUGGGUAAACAAUGGAGAGCUUUUCCAAACAAUGAAGAAAUAGAGAAAGACUACUGCAACCCUGUCAAGACAAAGCAUGACGGCACCCCACCUGUGGACUUUGACCUGAUGCGUUGUGGGUCAUCUGAGGUGCGCCGCCUGUCCGUAACAUCACCAGAGUUUCACACUGUCUCGCUGCUCGUCACAACGUGGGCCUGGUACUGGGAGUUCGCAGAGGACCAGUGGAUAGAGUAUGCUUCACCUGAGGGCAAAGCAGACAAUUUGAAUAUAACAGGUGAGAAGCUGGAACGAAAAUAUCAAGAAGGAGAGCCAUUCGUUCAGUUUGCUCGUGGGGAGAACAGGUACAUCCUCAGUUUUAAGGAUAUGAUUCAAACCAAUCAGAUCACAGAAAUGAAAAGGCUAGUUAGAAGACGUCCAGUGUUGAUCUCACCGGCAGAAGUACAAAAAGUCUGUGAAAAAUAUGCCAAAAGGAUACAUUCAAACUUUCUUAGUUCAGUCCCACAGCACUGGAAUUACUCCCUGCUGCCUGGGACAGGAUAUGAGAGAAUCAAGUUAGAGACUUCAUCCCAAGAUUACAGGCGCAUCGUCAGUCAGUUCAACCAAACCAUGAUGAGGUGUGACAUCCUAAGUAUUGAGAGAAUACAAAACCUGAAGCUCUGGAGGUUUUUCAUGUUACAGAAGAAUCAAAUUAAGAAUGACACUGGGAAGAAUGUGCGUGUGGAACAACUAUUUCAUGGCACUGAAUCAGAGUACAUUGAUGCCGUCUGUCAUGGAAACACUGAUCGCAGUUUUAACACCUUAACAGACACUCGCUUUGGGAGAGGAUGCUACUUUUCAAAAGAUGCCUCAUAUGCCAAUGAGUACACAGACAAACAAGGAGUGAGAUUUCUGUUUAUGUGCCAAGUGACGGUAGGAGACUAUGCCUUGGGACAACCAGAUUAUUACAGGCCUCCCUUCAAGGAUGAAAAGAAAACAGUGUCCUACGACAGCUGUGUGGAUGAUCUUGCACGGCCAAGUGUUUAUGUUGUCUUUGAGAAGAACCAGACUUAUCCUGAAUUCCUAAUUAAGUACAGAACUGAGGAUGACCAGACUUAUAGAGAGGAACCACAUGUUCAGGUAGAAUCAUUCUAUGAAACCAUCGAUAUCCAACCUAAUGAACAAUCACAAUCACAAUCAUUCUAUGAACCCAUCGAUAUCCAACCUCAGCCAGUGGAACAUCAGACUCCUCCCCCUAAGCCCAGAUGUUGUGAAGAUGUCUAUUGUAAUUGUGAAGUUCUUUUGGACUGCUGCUCCCAGCUGUAUAAAAUAGUGUUAAGGUUGGAAAGGAAAGAUGCAUGAUGGUCAUUAUGGUAUCCAUUUGGGGUGCAAUUCAUGAAGGUUCAGUGGACUGCACUCUUGAAGUUUAAGACAGGUUAUGUGAUGAGGAUGACUGUAAUUGUUAACAGAAGUUACAAUUCAUGUAAUUGUUAACAGAAGUUACAAUUCAUGUUGUUGUUAAGACUAACCAGGCCAGCAAACUAAUUUACUAAGAUUGUGCAAUGUGCAGUCUAAACAUAACCUGAUAAGGAAAAGUGUAUGCUCUCCUUGAAUACUUACAAUACAUUCUAUAUAAUAACUUUAAUGUCUAUACAUGAAUAUCUAUUCAGGAAAAAUGUUUUACUGUAUUUAUAUUUAUAUGAGGCUUUAGUAUUUUCAUUUAAUUACAGUAUUUAUUUUUUAUUGUUUUCUGACAUGAUUAUUGUUUGUAUUUUAAAAAAAUGUAAUGACAUGCCCAUACAUUAUGUUGUAUGUUUUAUGUACUUUUAUCUGCACUAUGUUGUCUUGUCUUCAUGUUAAAAACUUCUUCGGUAUUGUUUAUGUGCAUCAUUUUCUUCACAGUGCAAUUAUUUUCCACAUUGUUCUAUCUUUAUUUAUAUCAGUACUAGUAGCAGAUCUUUUUAUUAGUGUGCAUGCGUGUGUGUGUGUGUACUUUGCACUUUCCCUAUGACUUUUCCAAGACACAGACAACAGACAGGUAACAGACAGUGCAGCAUCUUUUAGCAACACAAAAGAGACACGGACCAACAGGUAUUUUCCUUGCUGAUUAAACUGAUUUGAAUUUGUAUAGUCUGCGUCAUGGGCAUGUCAUUGGACUACGGACUUUCUACAGGAAAGGGUAAGGUUUUUACGGGCAUUGCAAUACUGAUAAUGAUAACAGAGAUAUUUGUAAGCGUGCAAUACCUUUUCUUCCGGGACUGUUGACUGCUUUCCUGUUAGAGAAACAAAAACUAGACAAACCAGUCAGGGUUAUACUCAAAGUAACUCAACACUCAGUACAGUAGCUGUGUUCAAAUGCAAACUGGAAAAUACAAUGGCAGUGGGUACCGGUAAGUAGGAAUUUAACAAUUUCCAAUAUGUUAGUUUACAUAAAAGAUUAAUGAAAAUGUAGGAAAUAGGCUAGAUACUUUUAUCUGCCCCUUCACGGGCAUUGAUUCCGCUGUCUAAGUAGCGAUUGCUAUCUACCUUAAAAUACCAUUCCUAUAUCAUAGAUAUUGUUCUCCUACAGUAAAUCAUUGUUCUUUCAUGUGUUUUAAUCAGACAUUCAGGUUCUGUAAAGUACUUUGUGGUAUCAAGCUUUUUGAGAGUUAUAUAACUACAAUUAUUACCACAUUUUGUGAUUUUAGAUGGACCUUCUCAUCUGAUGCUUUUUUUUUUAAGAAAUUGUAUUUUUGAAAUUGAUAACAGAAAUGUUCCUAUGAUGUUAGUACACAUGUUUAAACUUUCCCCAAUGACCUAAUAUGAUAAUUGGUCUGUGUGAGGCUAAGCUGAUGGACAUGAAUCUUUCAACAGGUGAUGAAAUCUGUUGCUUGCAUCUUAUUGGUCGCUGCAAUGAAUGUGAUGCGGUAUGUGAUAAAGUUCAUAGCCGCACACCUUACCUGUGGCAGAUCUGGAA